AACGAACGCUGGCGGCAUGCCUAACACAUGCAAGUCGAACGAGACCUUCGGGUCUAGUGGCGCACGGGUGCGUAACGCGUUGGAACCUGCCCUUAGGUUCGGAAUAACUCCCCGAAAGGGGUGCUAAUACCGGAUAAUGUCUUCGGACCAAAGAUUUAUCGCCUUUGGAUGGGCCCGCGUUGGAUUAGCUAGUUGGUAGGGUAAAAGCCUACCAAGGCGACGAUCCAUAGCUGGUCUGAGAGGAUGAUCAGCCACACUGGGACUGAGACACGGCCCAGACUCCUACGGGAGGCAGCAGUGGGGAAUAUUGGACAAUGGGCGAAAGCCUGAUCCAGCAAUGCCGCGUGAGUGAUGAAGGCCUUAGGGUUGUAAAGCUCUUUUACUCGGGAUGAUAAUGACAGUACCGGGAGAAUAAGCUCCGGCUAACUCCGU
rnacentral:rRNA from 1 species